rnacentral:lncRNA from 1 species
GAGGGGACAGGAUCAUUUAGGAGCACAGCUGGGAGAUGCCACCGCAAGACUGCAGUGAAGUCCUACAGGAUAUGGCCCUGCUCCUUGAUGCUCCCCCACUGGCACUAUUUCCACUUCAUGGGGGGCCACACCCCCCUCUGGAGGUUAGAAGGGCCCCAACAUUCCUUGUCUCUUGUUAGCCAAGCUACAUUAGGGCCUCAGCCUAGGCUGGGCCAACGUGGUGUUCGACCCGGGACUUAGAACCCGAAGGACAGGGCAGUGGGGAGACCCCAUGGGAUUCACUAGGGUUCCAUGUACCCUGUCCCUCCACAGGACCCGCCCCUGUGGGAUGGUGAUCUGGCUUCUCAGGACCACUCAGGGUUAUUUAGGAGCUCAGCUGGAAGAUGCCACCACAAGACUGCAGAGAGGUCCUACAGCAUAUGACCCUGGACCCUGGUGAAUGGUGCCGUUCCCCUAAACCAGAAUCCACAGGCCGGGGGCCUAGGGGUGAGAGUGAGGGCAGCGCUUAUGGUUGGAACAUUCACAAAAGUUUACCUCUUGGCCCUGUUAGUCCUUACUCUUCUAGUUUGGAGAUUUAUUUUAAUUAAUUUAUUUUAUUUAUUAGCAUUUAUUUAUUUAUUUAUUUAGUUAGUCAUAUA